GUUUGGCGGUAGCAAUUACGCCAUCUUGUAUUAGAAGUGUCUAGAAUCCGUAAUGCUUACAUCUGCAUUCCCUAUCACCGCCACAACCCUUAUAAAUAGAGAAACCCUAAUUUUCACGUCGCCACAUUUGCUAUCUCUUCCGCUCUCCCUUUAUUGCAUUUUGUAUUCUUGUUUUAUUAAGAUUUGUUGAUACAGAUCGGUUUUUGUCCAAAUCUCUCUAGAUUUUAUUUUGUUUUGGAGGUGUGACUUAUCUGUGAGUUCCUUCGGUGAGGUAUAAGCAAUUCUUAUUCUUGAUUUGUGUUUUGGGAAGUCUUGUUCUUCUGUUUCUGUCAGUUGUUUGUUCUUUUCUUUUGUAUGAAUUGAAGAGUUUUAGAUCUACAUAAGUAGUAUGAAUAACUGCUCAAAAAGGGAUAUCCAUUUUUUUUUUUUAAUUUUAUACUAUAAUUGUUGUUUUAUUUAUGGCAAUAGAAAUAAUUGGUGGUGUUGAUUGAUUGUUGUCAUUGUAAAGUUCAUCAUUUCAUAUUUUCCUAUUCUGAUAGUAAAAAUUAAGAAUCUUAUUAUUGAUUUUCAUACUUUUGGUAUUUUAGUAAGGUGUCAAAGUAGAACAAUAAUUUCUAGAAAAGAUAAAUUCAGUUUGCCUUACAUAUUUAAAAUUGAAUGUUGUGAUGACUUGAUCUAAAUAUGUUUGACAAUCAUUCUUUAGCAGCUCAUAUUUAAAUAUAUAUGAACAGUUACUCUUUCACCUUUUGAGUUACCAGAAAUUAAGUGUAUUGCAUGCGAUAUUUUGAUUCAGAAAUGCAAUUAAUCACUCAAAUUGUAAUGUGGUAUAUCAACUAAAUACAGACUGUAACUACUUUGUGUUUAAUAGAAGAGCUUAGAGCACUCGAGAAUGUGCUGUGGACGAGUUACUUAUUUAUGUAUUAUUGUAUGAUGGGAUAAUAUGGCCAAGAAAUACUGUUUGCAUAUAUAUCUUGUAAGUUAUAUCAUGCUCAAUAUUGUCUGAAUCCACACGGAACACUGUAGAAUAUAGCUGGAUAUUUAAAUGGUAUUAGAGAUAUAGCUAGUUUAUCUAGUGGCUAAUCAGAAUAGUAGGUAAUUAGAUAAGAUGAAUUAUUAUUGAUUGUUUGGAUUCAUUUAUAUUGGGAAAUUAUGUCAAGUGCAGAUUAUGCGAGUUUUGUGGAUUAGUCAUUGUAUGUUGUGUAUCUUAGAUGUUUGUUCUGUUUGGUAUUCAUUGCAUUUGGCAUACCCUGAUGUAAUUGUGCUCUAUGAACAAUUGGUAUGGAGAACUGCAAAAUUACGGCCAUUUGCAAUAAUAAGUUGCUGCUUAAUAGUGAUCCAUAUUGUUAUGAACUGUUGUGUUACUAUUUGAGGUAUGCUUAUCUGGUGUGCAAUUUGAUGGAAAAGAACCUUAUGGCAUAAGGAGAUGCUCAUUCAUUGUGAUCCCAAUAGAUGUUGGGAUCCCUUUUGUAUCUAUUGUUGCAGUUGGGUGUUUUUUUAUCUCGAAAUCUAAACUUACUUCAGUUCAAUCAAUAAUUCAAUUAUUCUUGAGAAGUUGGAUGUUAUAACAUCUAUGGCCAAUACAUUUAGAGUACCUUGUGUGAAUAUUGUGUUAUAGUGGAAAAAUAAGGGGAAGAUUGAAUAGUAUUAGAGAUUAAUUGUUCUCCAUGUAUUGACUUGUUUGAAGACAUUUGAAAUAAUGUCAACUUAGUAUCCCAUGAUCUGCUGCAAUUCUCUUGUUUCAUAUACACUUGCAGAAAGCCUCCUCAAUGUGAGCAUUGUUUCCGUCUUUCAAAUGCUUGUUAAUAAAUAGCACCUGUUUUUAUUCUUUAGUUUGUAGGCGUGCAAUAUUUAGAAUAGUCACAUCAUUCAGUGCUGUUUUCAUCAGUUACAACUUAUAUGUGUUUUCUAGGGAAGUCACUUUUUUUCUUAAACACUAAAAUGUCAUUCUUUUAGAUGUGUUAGUCUACAAUUGGAAUAAACAUGUAGUGAAACAUGAUGGAGAGUGGGAUUUCUGAACUUGACUGGCAUCAUCUUCUUCAUAAGCUUUUGGUCUCGUUGGUGUUGUUUUUAUCAGUUUUUGAAUUUUUUGUUUCUAUUGGAAACAGUGCGCUGUAACCAAAUUUUAUUGUGCAAGUUCUGAAGUGUAGUCAACUGUUAAAUGAUCUGCUGAUGGAAAUUGGCACAAAGAAGAUUAAAACAUGAUUGCUUCAAAUUUGCAACAUUAGAUUUCUGUUUUUAUAUACUCUUUUUGUGUAUGUACUCCCUCCGUAUCAAACAAAGUGCAACAUUUGAUUUCGGCGGUGGGUAGUAUUAGGUAUGAUAAUUUUGAAAUUAAGUGAUAUGGUGGAAAGAAAAGUAUAUAUUUUAUUUUUUUAUUUGGGUGAUGUGAUGAGAUAGUGUGAGGUAGAAAUUAAGUAUAAUUAUUUCAUAUUUUGAAAAUAUUGCAGAGUAUAAGAAAUGUUGCAGGGUGUUUGGGACGGAGGGAGUAUUAUUUAUGGUAGCUGCAAUUUGAAGGAUAUUAUGCCUGCUCUGUAAGGAUAGGUGCCGGCUGCCUUGUCAAAACGGUGAGGAGAGUCGUGCUGUAGUUGAGCAUUCAGCCUUCUUCCCAGUCGAUGUCUUCUUCCUCUUCGGAAACUUCAGCUUCCAUAUUUAAGUCGCCAACUUUAUAAUACCCGGUUGCGCCACCUGAGGCCCGGCGGCUGUCAACGACUGAUAGACGGAGAAGAUGCUGCUGAGUAAAAUCAAUUGGGCCAGGGCAGCUGAGGACGGUGGAAAUUGAGGCCAGCGAUUAGGGCGACUGAAGUAGACGGCG